rnacentral:lncRNA from 1 species
UGAAAAGUAUCUUCCUUGAUAUUGUUGGUGGGUGGAACAAAUUAAAGAUUUCAUUAUUGUACUAUAGCUUGCUAUCAUAUAAAGCAAGAAUUUAAAAAGAGAAAGAAGAUGAGGAAGAUGAGAGUUCUUGCUUUUGCUAUUUAAAGUUACCAUUGUGCUUAUAUUAUUUUUGUUGUUUUUAUAGGUCUAAGGGAGCAAAUUCUCUAUCGCUCUUCCCAGGAAUUUUUUUUCACAAUCGUUGGUAAAUGAUGCCAAAUUAGUGGCUGUCCUAUGUAAUUAAUAGGAUAAGAGUAUUUGACACCCUAUGACUGACCGUUUCUAGAGUAAGUGACAAAAAGCUUGGUGGUUGGUAUUCGAGACUCAAGUUCGAAUCCUAGUUGAUUCAUAUUUUCAGCUAAGUUUAUUUCUAAAUGAAAUAAACAAAACGGGUAAUGUGCUACCUAUCUCUCAGAAAAGAAAAAAAAAGAGAAGUAUUUGACACCC